AUGGCCGCGUCCGUCCUCGCGCUCGCCGUGGCGCUCCUCCUCGGGGCUAGCUCCCGGGUCGACCACGGCGCGGCCGCCGCCCCCGUAUCGGAAGAGGGGCUCCAGGUCACCUACGGGAGCACGGUGAAGCUGAUGCACGAGAAGACCAAGGUGAGGCUUCACUCGCACGACGUGGCCUACGGCUCUGGCAGCGGCCAGCAGUCCGUCACCGGCUUCCCCGAAAUCGACGACUCCAAUAGCUACUGGAUUGUGAGACCUACUCUUGAUUCAUCAGCCAAACAAGGUGAUGCUGUUGAAACUGGUAGCAUCAUCAGGUUGCAACACAUGAGGACACGGAGAUGGUUACACAGCCACUUGCAUGCUUCACCAUUAUCUGGUAACCUAGAGGUUAGCUGUUUUGGUGGGGAUGGACAAUCAGAUACCGGUGACUAUUGGAGGCUAGAAAUUGAGGGAAAGGACAAGGUAUGGAAGCGAGAUCAGAAGGUAAGAUUGCGUCAUGUUGAUACGGGCGGCUAUCUGCACAGUCACAACAAGAAGUAUAACAGGCUUGGUGGUGGGCAGCAAGAGGUCUGUGGUGUUCGAGACAAGCGAGCUGAGAAUAUUUGGUCGACAGCGGAGGGCGUUUAUCUCCCAGUCGAUGAAAGCAAGUGA
rnacentral:rRNA from 1 species